GAUUCACAUUAUAUUACCUGAGGCAUGACAUGCGAUUGAUCGUGUUGAGAGACUAGGUAGGACGGUGCUGUUUCUACAAAGCAGAACACAUGCCAAAAACCCAAAGUUCACUGUCCUUUGGUGACCAAUGCAAGUUCGCAAUACCUUGUUAACAACUUAGGCUAAACCGUAAAGACGUAUAAUAUUUCAAGAUAUUCUUUUAUUUUAUUUUUUUAUUUAUUUUAAACUAUGCUAUAUGUAAACUACAUGUAAGGAAAAUAAUUUGUCAGGGUCACCUGAAUUUAUAUGCAGUAUACAGCAGUUUUCUUUUAAAUGACAGAUUUAGCCAAUUACGAUCUUUUCACGGAGACGUUCAGCACAGCACUACAUAAAAAGAGGGAUUACAAAGAGCUAUACAAUCAUCAGUCACAAGGUCUCAGCGACGAGGAGUCACAUGGACAGUGUAAGGGCAAGGUGCCAGUGUAAGUCCAAAUCGCCCGUCCAUGGAGGGUGGUGGCAAGCCGUCCGGGAGCCUGAAGGUGAAAGCCUGCAUCAGAUUCGAGAACAUCAGGAAGAGCUCCAUCUUAGCCAGCUGCUCGCCCAUGCACAGCCUGCGGCCUGGAAACAGAAGAUGCGUCAACACCAGUGUGAUCCUGUCUGGCCUCAUGACCAACAUUCAAAAGAACCUGGCGGGAUUGAAGUCGUCUGGGUUUUCCCACACAGUCGGAUCUCGAUGGACAGACCAGAGGUUUGGGAUAAUCACAGUUCCCUUGGGGAUUGUGUAUCCUCGAAACACUAUAUGGAAACCCCCAAAAGAAAAUUCUUAUUGAGGAUGUGCUCACCUGUGGUCUCUGAGGCCAUGUGAGGUAUUGCCAGGGGAACAACUGAAGUCAUCCUCUGGACCUCCAUAAUAGUGGCUUCAGUAAAAGGACAGCUAGCCUUGUCUGUCAGCGAGGGGACCCUGUCUGUCCCCACAACUGAAUCAAUCUCAGCCUGAACCUUCUCUGUGAAGCAAAGAGAAACAUCCAAGGAAGGUAAGCAACCCCCUCUGCGUGUCUAUUUAGUUACAAACCAGGAUAUGAUGUUUCUCACCAUUUUGCAAACUAGCCAUUAAUUCAUACAUCACAUCUAAUCAGCCAUUUGUGCCAAUCAGAAGAGAUCCAAAAUGCUGAUGACAAAAUUAGUGCUGCUGCAAUCCAUCUCCAUCCAAAACUACAGUACCUACAAUACAUCAGAAUAGCAUAGCAAAUCACUGCCUCCAAUAUGCAUAGUAUAAGACUAUGGGUCAGACACCUUGAAUGUCUGGAUAUACGCUCAUGUACAGCAGCAUCCAGAGCACAGUAUUGGUGGUGGUGUCAGUUCCGGCGAUGAAGAGAUCGCCAAUGAUGUAGAAGAGAUAAUCCUCCGAGAAGCUGGUUUCCCCCGCCCCUACGCUCUGUUGCUGCUGGGCCGUCUCCACCAGGUACAUGUCGAUAAGGUCACGGGGGCUGUCCGGGUCCAAACUGGACCUGUGCUGGACGAUAAUUUCCUUCAGGAAGACCGUGAUGUCCCUCUCCACCUGCCGGAUUUCCCUGAAGGGACCGAAGGGCAGGUAGUACAGCCAGGGGAAGACGUUGAUGAGGAUGGCCGGGCUGUUGAUGCAGAGCUCCAGGCCCCUGGACAUGAGCUCCAGCAGCGAGCGGAACUGGGAAUCCCCGUGGUGGAAACGCUGACCGAGGCUAAUGGAGGAGAUCACAUUAGACACCGCGUUGCUGACGAGCGGUGUCAGGUCAACGGGCAUCCCCUCUCCCUCUGCGUGGAUUCUCAGCAGCUCAUUCUUCACUACUGCCAGCUCCUCCAGGAUGCGGGGCUCUAGGCUCAGCCGGCCCAGCCCAAAACUCCGUAAAGUUGCAUGGCAGAACUUUCGCUGCUGUCUCCACACGGGACCAUAGGGGGCAAACACUAUACCUGAAAUUAGGAGCAGAAUUUCAAGUGAACAACAUUGUCCCAUCUCACAUAAUUCUGCUUUCCAUGUGUUUACAAAUUGCCUUACCAUCCUUUUGGGCAACACCUGAAGUAGUAUAUCUACAUUUUAUUAAACAAUAUGUAUAUACAUUCCGGGUAGUGCCAUGGAAUUGGACAUAUUCACAGAGCUGACAAAGGCGACACAAUGGUCAACAGCAGAUAGGACUGCUUAAACGUUACUAGAGUGCACUACAGAAAUUCAAAGUAGACAUAAUCCAGAUAUUCUGCAGAUAACGUUUUUUUCUUGCGUAUAGCAGCAGAUCUAUUUCGCAGGUGUCUACAGGACUACUUAGUACUUACCUUUCCGCUUUGUCAUAAUAGUUACGACGGGAACAUCAGGUCGGUCAGAAAAUACGUCGGCUCGAUUUGAGAGGGCGUCCUUGACGACUUCGUAGCCUGUCAAUAUAACUAUCAGUUGAUUACCAAUAAAAAGGCUGUAGAUACUGCCAUACUUUUUCGACAGUUCCGUUAGAAAAACUUGUGGGGAUACAAAAACGGAUUUCCUUGGUUCGCGUUUUUCAGUACGACCCCCGCGCCGUUUCAAAACAAAACUUGGGAUAAGAAACUGUCCAAAAUUGCCAAUCAAAGGCCAGGGUUUCGGACCGGGAGGAACAUUAGAGAAUGUUCGUUUUUUAAAUUUGUGUGACACGAAAAACACUGCUAAAAACACGGCCAAGGCCACCAAGUAUACACUCGAGAAUAAAGUAAUACAUUGCAGCUGCUGCCAUAGCUGCCUCAGCAUAGCGACUACGUUACUCAACGUCACGAUUUAAAAUACUAAUAUCUAAUAUCCGUAUAAUAUUUUAGAAAUCAGUUUAUCGAAAAGAUACUGGAUUCCAGUCCUAGCAGACAUGUCUGUUUUGGUUGUGCAGUGGCUACGUUGCAUCUUAUCUGCUUUUUGAUUGGUCAGGAAAAACAGUAACGCUCAUUGGACGACCAAUAUAGUGACGAAAAAAAGGUUGGCUUAAAUCAUAUAUUAAAAAAGCUUAUUUAGCACUUGCAAGCACUUUAACCUUGUGAUUUCAUUGUUUCAUCAUAAUAAGCACAGCAUACUUGGACCAACAUUGUUUGUUUAAACCUCAUUUUCAUAAUUUCAUUUCAUAUCCAAUGUGCUGGAGUACAGAGCCAAAAACAAAAAACAAAAAUUGUGUCACUGUCAAAAUACCUAUGGCCUGCACUCUGACGUGUGUUUCAGUCCUUUAGAUAGUACUGGUAUUUCUUGUUAUUAUUUCACAUUGUGUUCUUGUGCUGUUUCUCAUUGUAAUACAGAUUUCAAGCAUUCGUUGCUUGCAAAGAACAAGUGACAAAGUACUUUCAUUUACAUAACAAUAUGUCCCAAAUAUUGUGAUACCCUGAAACCAGAGGCUAUGUAUUAAAAGUUCUGUCAUUUCUACAUGGUGAAACCAAAGUUUAUAAAAAUUCCCUUAAUAAAUGCUAAGAUUGUGCACUUUAACCACAAGUGAUUAGAAUACAAAUCUAAAAUUGAGUACCCAGAGACUGAGAAAGAGAGAGAAAGAGCUUUGGUUACCAACUAGCAAGCUUAUAUGUGUUUGUUAUUCUGCUAUCCAAAAUGUAACUUCAAGCACUAUUCUGACAAAAUAAAUGAAUAAAUAAAUCAAAGGGCAAAUUCAUUGGCCAUUAUUUUCAUUGCAUACAUUCAUUUUGUGCUUGAGCUUAAUCUCUGGACCUUUUCCUUGUUCCUCAGUUGAGCAUCUAGUUCUGAUUGCUCUUCAAGGCCUCAUCGGGCUAUAGCGCAUGGUUCCAACUGAAACAAUGAUGUUACACUUAUUUUCAUUGUUAUACUUUACAAAAUGAACUAAUCAAACUUGGUUCUUUUCAUAUAUAUUUUAUUCAUAACAGUCAUUUUUCAGGCAUACAGUACAUACAAUAAUGGCAAUGACACAUUGGUAUGUUGAUGACACAAAAAAUUCAGACUAUUAUUGAUAGUUUCAUUUAUAGAAUGGGUUCACUAUUUGACAACUCUUAAGGCACAUAAUACAUGAACACUGAUCCUGAUUUAUAUCUUUCUUAAAAGAUAAAAUCAAUGUUAAAUAAGAGAUUUAUUAAAAAAUAGUCUUAAGACAUAGUAUUCAUUUUCUGGAAUUUUUCAGGUUUCUAUGGAGUCCUCCACCACGCGUAAAACUAUAGUCAUUGUAUGUUUGUAAUCUGUAGCAGUGAAUAACAGACAGUUUAAUAAAUAUACAAUUUAGAGCUUCAUUCUAUUAGUUCAUAAGCGCUGUUUCUAUGUGAAUGUGGUUCAAUAUUUAAAAAAAAACUGUCAAAAGACGCAGCAGAUUCAGAGGCAACAAGCCCACAGUAAUACACUACCAUGUUAUGAUCCAGUGCAAUGUUUCACUAAGUUAAACUUGCCUGUGAUUUAAAGCUUGGGCAUAAGCAAUGUGCAUUAGGAAUUAAUAUCCAAAGCCUAAUUGUGCAGCUUGUUUAGCCAUUUUUCUGCCCAAAAUGUCCGUAAAAAGCACUUCAUUUCAUAUAAAUUGACUAUUUUCCUAGCCAAAGUCUUCAAACUGCUUGAACAGUUUUCAUUAAAUACCAAAAAGACAAAACUAAAUUAUAAAAACACUGAACUCCAAUACAUGUUUUUGUUUCCCUAAAAAUGUUGAUGUAAGUGAAGUUUGUUAAUCAAUAUUAACAUACAGGUACCAAAUGACACACGGCAAAUGUUUUGGCCAAUUAAAAGGUAAAUGCUCAUCUAUAGAAAAGGGUCAUUUUAAAGUCAACACUUAUAAACAUGUAACACAGACUCAAAUUCAUACCUUAACAAGGCAAAUUAAUAAAAUUCAGACAAAAUGUAUAAAACAAAGGAAACAGUAACAAGAGAAAGUUCAAAAUUUUCUCAAUCUGAACUAAAAAUGCAUACAAAAAGGAAAUAUAAUAUUCAUAAAUGAGAAUUCAGUUCCUUCAAUUCCAUUGUAAAAAUGCCAGCAAGAUACUGCAUGGAUUUGAUCAGCACCCACAGCAUCAGAAAGAGUGACUUCUGCUCAGCCACAGAUCUGUGAAUUCAGUUCUGUGUUCCCCAUUUAAAAAACAACUUAUGAGCACUGCCUUCUUGUAAACAAGAUGCAUUUGCUCUGUUGUCAAUGAGGCUUGCCAAGGCUGUGAUGAUUAUACUUACGAUCAGCCUCAGCUGUAAGAUGAUUGUCACAGACCACUUAUUGCACAGCUGUUUAUUUGAUUUAUGUUAGAAAGUCACAGAUCUGAAAGCUUUUCUGUCUGCAGAACUCAGAGACAUAAGAAUACACAGGGGUGUCUUCCUUUUGCCUAUAGUAUAAUUGUACAAACUGCACCAAGUAAAGGUGGCUGCAGGCUCAGCCAAAGAGAUUUUGUACAAGACAACAAACUCUGAAGCAAAGUUCAGUAAACAAUGUGACAGUGUGGUUGUUUUUAAA